CAAAUUGACCAAACAGUAGAUUUUGUCUACAGCUGUACGGUCGAUCUGCUUUCGCUCGUAGUCAUGCUUCGGCAUGACUUCGUGUACACCUAAUGUGAAUUUUUGUACUUUGUUUCGGCAGCACUCUACUACUAAAACCUGUGGAGGUAAGGCUGUUGAUAGCCUAUGUUUUAAACUAGUUGAUAAAAUUUACAUGAUGUCUAAAUCUUUUUGAGAAAUCAAAUUACAAGUUA
rnacentral:misc_RNA from 1 species